UACGGGGGGGGCAAGCGUUGUCCGGAUUUAUUGGGCGUAAAGAGCGUGUAGGCGGCCAGGUAGGUCUGCUGUGAAAACUCGAGGCUUAACCUCGAGCUGUCGGCGGAAACCAUCUGGCUAGAGUCCGGAAGAGGAGAAUGGAAUUCCCGGUGUAGCGGUGAAAUGCGCAGAUAUCGGGAAGAACCCCCGUGGCGAAGUCGGUUCUCUGGGGCGGUACUGACGCUGAGACGCGGGAGCGUGGGGAGCGAACAGG
rnacentral:rRNA from 1 species